rnacentral:tRNA from 1 species
UGUUGUGUGGCUUAGUGGGUUGAAGCGCCGGACUAGUGAAAUGGAGUCGUAGGUUCGAAUCCCACCAAAACAA